rnacentral:rRNA from 1 species
UACGGAGGGUGCGAGCGUUGUCCGGAAUCAUUGGGCGUAAAGGGCGCGUAGGUGGCCCGGUCAGCGUGCGGUGAAAGCUCGGGGCUCAACCCCGAGUCGGCCGUGCGAACUGCUGGGCUGGAGCACUGUAGAGGCAGGCGGAAUUCCGGGUGUAGCGGUGGAAUGCGUAGAGAUCCGGAAGAACACCGGUGGCGAAGGCGGCCUGCUGGGCAGUGGCUGACGCUGAGGCGCGACAGCGUGGGGAGCAAACAGG